AUGUCCAUGUAUCUGAAACACUUCACUGUUGUGGGAGACGACCCCGUGCAGUGGGGCAAUGACUACAAGAAAUGGGAGGAAGAGCAGGUGGAGGAGGAAGGUGGGCAGAAGCCGGAAGAUUCAACGAUUAACAUGAAUUCCUCAGUCAGACCUAGUUCCUUCCAGGAUGUGAUGAAAAAGGUCUUCAGCUCCCGCAAAUUUCAGAUAUUGGUUGUUUGCUUGGUCAUUUUGGAUGCUUUGUUGGUGCUCACUGAAUUGCUUCUGGACUUGAAAAUCAUCCACCCAGACAAACAUGAAAUAGCACCAAAGGUAUUUCACUACAUGAGCCUUUCUAUUGUAACCCUCUUUUUGGUGGAAGUUGGGUUUAAAAUAUUUGUCUAUCGUGUGGAAUUUUUUCACCACAAGUUUGAAGUCCUGGAUGGAAUUGUGGUGGUGGUUUCGUUUAUCAUCGAUGUCGUCCUUCUGUUUCGGGAACAUGAAUUUCAAGCGGCUGGACUAUUGAUCUUACUCCGACUGUGGCGAGUGGCCAGAAUUAUAAAUGGAAUAAUUUUAUCAGUAAAGACACGCUCUGAACAACGGGUGUCAAAGCUGAAGCAAGCAAAUCUGCAACUUGCUACAAAAGUUGAACAACUUGAAUACAGCUGCACAGAGAAGACUAAGGGCUCUCUCCCAGCACUCUGCAGCGACUACACAAGCCACAUUAAAGCACUGCUGCAGCAACACUUUAACGUUGCCAGUGAAGACGUGCCCUAAGGAAAACAUAAGAGCAACAAUGUUUACAUAACAAGGCCUCUGUCAUGUACAACUUAUAGACAGGUGUACAGUCACCUGAUGAGCCUUCAAAAGAAAAACCACCAAAGCAUUUGGAGGAUGUGAACACACAGCUCUGAAAUUCUCCCUUGCUCAUGCAUCCAGUGUGGAUGUGCUGCAACAUUGAUUGAAUAUAUAGCUGCUUCCUGAGUGCAAAGCUGGCUGUCACCUCUGCAAACAAAUAUACAGAUCCAACAAAGUCAAUCUUGACAAUGUUAUUUUAAAAUCUUUAUAUGCAUGUAUUGUUGUAACAGAAGGAAGGCAACAGUGGGGAUGGAUAAGUACAGUAAAGAUUUGAAGAUCACUUACUUAUGCACUCUUACAAGGCUUAACAUUUUAUAUUGUUUAUCCCAGGAAAAACCAACAACACUUAGCCAUUCUCCAAUAUCUUUCAUUCACAGAUUUCAAAAUAGAGGGAUGUGAUAAUAGCCACCGUUCAAAGUAGGACAGCAUUUGAUGACAAUGAUAUAAAAGAUGACAACUCAGAUGGGAUCCAAUUGGCUUCAGAUAUCACAAUGGUGCAUAUGUUAAAGACUGGACAUUCAGAAAGUGCUUUUAUUCAUACCAGAGAGAAGGUAGGGGAUGGGUUGGAAUGAGGCUGAACAUAGAGAAGACUGCAAGAGGAUCAGGGGAAAAUGAGGUGCACAGACUUGAGAUAGCAGCAGAAUCAUAUCACUCAUCUUCAUAAAAAGAAUAUAAUGAACUGCUCACAACACUUAGGAGACAAAGGAUGGAAUGAGAAACAUCAAGGAGGGGAAAUAUUGAGUCAGUUUAGGAUAGGUACAAUGUGUUACAAGCAUCCUCAAUGAAGAUCAACAAGAGAAUUUGGUAUUGCAGCGGGUAUGGUCAAUAGUGAGUGGGGUUUUCCAAUAAGACCUCCGUGGAUGGUAAAUGUCACACUCUGAAGAGUACUAAUCCCCCCUGCGUUGGCUAGUGGACUUGAAUAUGAGACGGUGAUUCCUCAUGUGCUAGAGGGAGUGGAUACUGCAGAGCGGUCAAAAGCAGUAAAAGGACAUUAUCAAAAUUAAAAGAAAUGGCAUGUAUGGAAUUUAUAGAAUCCUGAACACUACAUUUCUCUUUUAUUAAGUUAUGCUAGUUAGACAUGACCCAUUAGGUAGAGUGUUGUAAACUAUUUCAUAAGGUGAACCACAUCUUAACAGGCCCACAUCAUGGACCAUAUUCCUGCUCCCUCAGGAUUCCACAAACCACCUCCCCUCCCAUUCAUAAUUAUAACAGCCCUGUAGCAACUACAGCAGUUGCUUACAUGAAAGUUACCAUCUUUUUUAAAGUGAGAUGUAAAACUUGUGGCCAUUGACAAUCCCUUGACAUGUCACAAAAGAUUUGAGAAAAAAGCUUGAGAAAAAGAGUACAGCUUGAUUUUAUGCAUUUCUAGUUGACAAGAAUAAAAUAUUCAUAGCGGAGGAGUCAACUGUCAUUCAAAAAGGCUUUGAUUACACCUUUCCGAUAUAUAUAUAAAAUACCUAUAAAUGGGUGGCAAUAUGCAUUGUGGCAAGAACAAAGAAAUAGCAGUCCCAGGUGGCUGAAUGAUUCAAAGUUCAAAGCACUGAGAAUAAACUCAGUUAUUCAGAUUGGGCUAAUUUAUGCAGGAAGUGGUUUGAAGAGCUAUGCUUAUUGUUCUGAGAAGUCACAUUGAGCUAUUUUAAAUUCAGACUCUAUAAUGAGCUUUCUUAACUCCUGUUUGAGAGGCUGAUACCGGUGCAAAGCUACAUACUGAAAUAGGUUGUAAACAGCAACAAAAGUCAAACAAUAAGCCUGCAUUAUAUUACUAUCAUGUUAUAUUUUAAUAUUUUACUAUGCUACUUUAGAAAGGCAAAAAUUGCCAAUGAGAUGAAAAGAUUCUAUGCUUGCUCCUAAAAGAGAGAUCAGAGGAAAGCUCACAUUAUUUAAUGAUGGCCAUGAUGCUAUCACGUUCCUAGGGCUAGGACUUCUUACAGCAAAGGAUUCCCAAACUAACACUGAUGGAUUAUUGGUGGUCCAUGGAGAGAACCACCUGCUCACCUGGUGCUAACACUCCUAAUUUCUAGCUUCUAAAUUGUAUUGAUAGGAAGCUGCAUAUGUUUUACACUUUCUCUUAAAGAUGGCACCCACAAAAACAAUGCCUUUAAUGUCACAAUAAGGUAUUGAGUCAGUACUGACAUCGAGGGAAAGGUGUAACCUACAUCACUCCCUGCAAAACCUGCAUUUUCCUUCAAGAUCUCCUAUCCAAGCAACAGACAGACAUGACCUUAUUUAGUUUGACAGGUCUGAUGAGAUUACAAUCCAAGGCAUAGCAUAGUGAAAUUAAUGUAGAAGUUCAAACAUCUGUUCCAAAUAGCCACCCAGUGCUAUAACGGAUACUAAAUUACCUUUGUAUCUCCAUGUCAAGAUGUAGGCUGAAGUCAUUCCUGAAGUAAUAAUGAGAAUAGUGCCAGCACUAAAUUCUUGACAUCAGAACAAUUAGAGGCUCAGCUCCAUAGCCUUAAAUAUUCACAUCCCACUCAAAAGUGAUCUUUUACAAACCUACAGCUCCCUUUUUUACUUCAGAAACAGUUCAGUGCAAACAGACACAUGUCCCAACAAGAGACCAUUAUCAGCCUCCCUUGGGACUUCUCUUCAGCUGUAAAGAGAUAUCACUAAAACUAACUCCAGACUGACGGAGGUAUACAAACCCCACAUUGGACAGGAAGGGGUUAAAAAGCAGGACUAAACUGAAGCCUCCCUGCUCCACCACAUCUGUGAGGCAUUUCAGGCCUUAAAAAGAGGGAAGCCCAGCCCAGCCCCGUUUGGGGCGAAGUGUAAAUGAGGACAAAGACUCCUCCAUGACCACAGCCAGUCUAAGCAGAACUGGGCAUAUCCUGAAUGUCUAUUUCACAGCUCCUGUCUGUGAUUUACCCGAGGGCUUUGAACCCUUAUACAGACUGCUGGAGGUCCCUUGUUUGAAGGCAGGCUUGCUGCUGUCUUUCAUUAGUUUGUUUAUGACAGUCCCAGAAAGGGAAGACUCCCAUGAGAUUCAGGUGAAGGCCCGAGUCUCCCAGGAACAGGAGACCUGUGCUGAUGACUGCCUAGGUGCUGAGGACUGGAUGGCGGGUGAAUGCAGUGCCCUGUCACACAGCAAGGAGGUUCUGUGGGAAAACAAGUCCACGAUGCAGACCCUAGCCUGUAUCCAUUGAAUUCAAUGAGAAUAUGAUGGGACCCUGCAUCUUUGAGCUGAAAAAAAAAAAAAAGUUAUUUAUGAACUUACGUGACAA